rnacentral:other from 1 species
GAUUUCCUGAGAUGUGCGUAGAGCUUAUGAUAUUCAACCUACAUGAUAUUAUCGGGAUUUGCAGUUAAUUCAUAAAUGUCAGGCUUCAUUUAAUCACAUGUUGUGACAGUAGAAGGCAGAAGUGAAUUGAGCUUAACCCACCUGCGAGGCGCAGGAUUUGAAUAUAUGGGCAAGCGGCAUGUUGGGAACUAU